GAAGGGGAAGAUGGAACCGCGGCAUAUCUUAUGUCGAGGAAAGUCCGGACUCCGUAGGGCUGGCCGCUGGACGAGAUCAAUUUUGAUCGUAGUCCAGAGUCGGUGACGGCUGGAAAGUGCCACAGAAAAUAGACCCCCAGCACUUACUUUAAUAUCCACCUCAAAGGGGCAGAGACAAUUAAACUUAAUGCCAUAACGUCGGCAAACUUGAUGGUUGGGGGUUGAUCCUAAAGUAAGUGCUGGAAAGGGUGCAACGGCGAGGUAAGAGCUCACCGCUUCCUCCGCGAGGUAGGAAGGCACGGUAAACCCCGGCUGGAGAAAAGCCAAAUAGGGAGAAUUGGAGUUGCCCGCUCCGUUAAAAUCUCCGGGUAGGCUGCUCAGAUAGAUGGUUCCCUCGCACAGAAUCCGGCUUAACUUCCCCUUCGUCU
rnacentral:RNase_P_RNA from 1 species